GGCUACGGCCAUAUCACGAUGAAUGCACCUCAUCCCGUCCGAUUUGAGAAGUUAAGCAUCGUCGAGCCACAUCAAUACUGAGGUUGGAGACAACUUGGGAACCUGUGGUGCUGUAGUCU
rfam:Naegleria gruberi genomic scaffold NAEGRscaffold_68, whole genome shotgun sequence.